CUUGCAAACCAGCCCAAUCUAUGGGUCAAACUGUUCCUAUUGUUGUAGUAUUAAUAACUAAUGGAACUUGUCCCCCUUCUCCUUUAUCAUUGUACUUUAAUUCUUUACCUUUUAUUAAAGCCAUCUUUACCAAAGAAAGAUUCCACAUUUUGACUGUUGGUACUGUUAAGUCUCUGGGAAUAGAAGGUCAUGGGGAAGACCAGUCUUGGAGAAGCAGAACCUGAGAUAAUAUGCACUUGAAAUACUGAGUGGUCCUCUCUCUCUUACUCUUAUCUUUGGCUUACAUAUUCCUUUAAGAAAGAGUUUUUCUCCGUAACAAACAAAUAGUGAUGAUAGAUUUGACUGCAAGGGACUAUAUUACUUUUCUUCGUCCAGGAGAGUGAAUCAUGGUGCUUUCCUGAUUUCAAACAUGUAAACUUGGUGCAUCAUUGCAUAAACACCUGCAACAUCUACCUCUUUCCAACUUUUUAACAAUGACUCAUUAGUUUGCAUAAUAUCAAUCUUGAUGUCUACAUUCUUACUGUGAACUUAAUCUCAGGGUGAGGACUUUAUUUGUUUGAUCUAUUGCUCCUUUUGUUUAUCUGAGUCCCUCACAGGGUUAUAGAAAAACAUUCAAACAGCAAGUUUAGUAGCUACGAAUGUGACCACAAGAUGGCAGUGCUUCUCUGCUAAUGCGGAACACAUGGAGGGUUGGUUCAUUUUAGCGGAUACUGAAUAAAUAGGUUUAUGGCAGAAGCAGAGCCUUUUUCUAUUGGCUGAGUAGACGAUGUGAGAAACCACUAUGAUUUUUAGAGGAAAAAAAGGAAAACCCGAUGAUAGAAGUAGCUUUUAUGGCUGGAGAUUGUAGGUUUAUGACUGAUCCUAUUUGGGAAGAACAAUGAUGGCAUGCAUUCGAGCUUCAUUUAUGUACUUGUGGCUGCAGCUGGACUGGGUGAGCAGAGGAGAGAGUGUGGGGCUGCAUCUUCCUACCGUGAGUGUUCAGGAGGGAGACAACUCUGUUAUCAACUGUACUUAUUCAGACAGUGCCUCAGACUACUUCCUUUGGUACAAGCAAGAAUCUGGAAAAGCUACUGAACCUGGAGACUCAGCUGUCUACUUCUGUGCAGAGAAUACACA